AUACGUGCCUCUACGUUUGGCUAAAAAAAAAAAUCUGUUCUUAUCAGUUUAAUAUCUGAUAUGUCCUCUACACAGGAACAAUUAUGUUAACUGCAUUGUUGGCAUCUGGAGCUGUUAAAUGGGGCUUGCUUUGACGGAGGCUUUGUCACAAGCGUUU
rnacentral:snRNA from 1 species